rnacentral:misc_RNA from 1 species
UGUCAAAAAUUUAAUAAAAUUGCCACUAAAAUUAUUAAAAUAAUAAUGAUUUACACCUAUUCAAGACAUGUGCUUUUGUCCGUUGCAAAAAAUUUAUAUUACAGGCAAAUGUAGUGGUUUUCAAACCGUUGCUAUUGACUUAUGGCUAUAAUUUAGCAAUAGUUUUCCAUAGCUGUCUAAGAUCCAUUAUGUAGUAGUGUGGGACUAGAGAAAAAAAAAUUGAGGAUAAUGGGUUAUAUGUGGUUGUGAAGCCUAAGUGCAAAUGCAUUGAUCCUUCCAAGAAAAGAAAAUGAAAAUAAAAAAGAAAAGAAAGUGCGUGCAUUAUUAUGUCUGGGGCAUGCAGGGGUGAGCUCACUACUGCACUCUCUACGGAAAAGAAGAAGACAAUGUCAUAUGUUUAGGAACAGUUUCUUGAUGAGAUAAAUCCCUGCCCUUUGCGUUUUCUACUAUUCAUCUUCAAUUCCAUUUGCUUUUGAUUUU